rnacentral:lncRNA from 1 species
UUUGUCCUUGUGGGUUCAUGCUUUGGUUUUAUGAAUUAUUGUUUUACAUGUGAUGAGGUUUUUUAUUUAAUUAUGUAACUCCAAUACUUAAAGCCAAAGUUGUGAACUUUUUUAGGUCUGAGUAUAUCUGUAUAUUUUUCAUAUUGUAGUAUUUAGCUGAUAGUAUUCUUUUUAUAACCUUAUGAACUAGAUCAUGAUUAUAACUCAGUAUUUGAAGUUAACAUAUUUAAAAAAAACAAGGCACUUCUAGUCAGCAAAUAUCUUAAUUCUUAAUUAGACUUACAAAAUAUGAGUCAAAAUAAGGUUGAUUAAAACUAGG